rnacentral:pre_miRNA from 1 species
UCUUAUGGAUGAGCAAAGAAAGUGGUUUCUUGAGAUGGAAUUGGCUCCUGGUGAAGAUGCUGUGAA